CCCUCACGUUGACAUCAAAGGCCCCAAAGUGGACAUCAAUGCUCCAGAUGUGGAUGUGCAGGGCCCAGACUGGCACCUGAAGAUGCCCAAGAUGAAGAUGCCCAAGUUCAGUAUGCCUGGCUUCAAAGCAGAGGGCCCUGAAGUGGAUGUGAGCCUGCCCAAGGCUGACCUUGACGUGUCAGGACCCAAGGUGGACAUUGAUGUUCCAGAUGUGAAUAUUGAAGGUCCAGAUGCAAAACUGAAGGGCCCCAAGUUCAAGAUGCCUGAGAUGAACAUCAAGGCCCCCAAGAUCUCCAUGCCUAACAUUGACUUAAACCUGAAAGGCCCCAAAGUAAAGGGUGAUGUGGACAUGUCUCUUCCCAAAGUAGAAGGUGAGAUUAAAGUUCCUGAGGUUGACAUCAAAGGCCCUAAAGUGGACAUCAAUGCUCCAGAUGUGGAUGUGCAGGGCCCAGACUGGCACCUGAAGAUGCCCAAGGUGAAGAUGCCCAAGUUCAGUAUGCCUGGCUUCAAAGCAGAGGGCCCAGAGGUGGAUGUGAGCCUGCCCAAGGCUGACCUUGAUGUGUCAGGACCCAAGGUGGACAUUGAUGUUCCAGAUGUGAAUAUUGAAGGUCCAGAUGCAAAACUGAAGGGCCCCAAGUUCAAGAUGCCUGAGAUGAACAUCAAGGCCCCCAAGAUCUCCAUGCCUAACAUUGACUUAAACCUGAAAGGC
rnacentral:lncRNA from 1 species